rnacentral:rRNA from 1 species
CAUGCAAGUCGAACGGCAGCGCGGGGAGCUUGCUCCUUGGCGGCGAGUGGCGGACGGGUGAGUAAUGCAUAGGAAUCUGCCCAGUAGCGGGGGACAACCCGGUGAAAACCAGGCUAAUACCGCAUACGCCCUACGGGGGAAAGCAGGGGAUCUUCGGACCUUGCACUAUUGGAUGAGCCUAUGUCUGAUUAGCUUGUUGGUGGGGUAAAAGCCUACCAAGGCGACGAUCAGUAGCUGGUCUGAGAGGACGAUCAGCCACACUGGGACUGAGACACGGCCCAGACUCCUACGGGAGGCAGCAGUGGGGAAUAUUGCACAAUGGGCGCAAGCCUGAUGCAGCAAUGCCGCGUGUGUGAAGAAGGCCUGCGGGUUGUAAAGCACUUUCAGAAAGGAAGAAAAGCUGAGUAUUAAUACUACUCGGUCUUGACAUUAUAUUCAGAAGAAGCACCGGCUAACUCCGUGCCAGCAGCCGCGGUAAUACGGAGGGUGCGAGCGUUAAUCGGAAUUACUGGGCGUAAAGCGCGCGUAGGCGGUCAGAUAAGUCGGAUGUGAAAUCCCCGGGCUCAACUCGGGAAUGGCAUUCGAUACUGUCUGACUAGA